rnacentral:rRNA from 1 species
UACAGAGGGUGCGAGCGUUGUUCGGAAUUACUGGGCGUAAAGCGCGCGCAGGCGGCCUUUUAAGUCUGCUGGUGAAAUGCCGGGGCUCAACCCCGUGCCCGCCACAGAUACUGGGAGGCUGGAGACGAGUAGAGGCAAGCGGAAUUCCGGGUGCAGCGGUGGAAUGCGUAGAGAUCCGGAAGAACACCGGAGGCGAAGGCGGCUUGCUGGGCUCGGUCUGACGCUGAGGCGCGAAAGCCAGGGGAGCAAACGGG